rnacentral:rRNA from 1 species
AGAUUGAACGCUGGCGGCAUGCCUAACACAUGCAAGUCGAACGGGAGUAGCAAUACUCUAGUGGCGGACGGGUGAGGAAUACGUAGGAAUUUGCCCUUAAGUGGGGGAUAACCCGGGGAAACCCGGAUUAAUACCGCAUGACCUCGAAAGAGCAAAGUGGGGGAUCGCAAGACCUCACGCGUUUUGGAGAAGCCUACGUCGGAUUAGCUAGUUGGUGAGGUAAUGGCUCACCAAGGCGACGAUCCGUAACUGGUCUGAGAGGAUGAUCAGUCACACCGGAACUGAGACACGGU